CGCAGUCAUCACUUGCAUUGAUUACGUCCCUGCCCUUUGUACACACCGCCCGUCGCUCCUACUGAUUGAGUGUUGUGUUGAAGAAUGGGGAGUUAGGCUGUGCGUUAAUUCGUGCAUGCAUGAUGAACUAUUCUGAAUCUUGACAUUUAGAAGAAGGAGAAGUCGUAACAAGGUUUCCGUAGGUGAACCUGCGGAAGGAUCAUUA
rnacentral:rRNA from 1 species